AAGACUAAACUAUCCCAUUUCAGUUACUUUUUGAAAAGACAUAUGUGAAUGAAAGUAGAUGAAAUCUUUUUAACAAUAUGACUAUAUUCAUGUGAGCAUCUGAAAAAAAAAAGGGUUUUUUUUCUUAUCUAUUAGCUCACAUAAUUAGAUGUCAGAGCUCUCUUGGAAAAAGAGCUAUGGAAAUAAUAGAGUGAAGCUCAUGUAAGGCAAUGGUUGUAGUGCAAAGAUGCCAGAGAAUAUAAUAAAAAAUAUCUGUGGUGAUCUAAAUUUAGUAUUAUCAGAGUCUGGGGAAAACUAUGGCUGAGAAAUCAUUAGGGCAAGAAAGAAGUUGAGUGCUGUGGAGAAGAGAGCUGAUGCCAAGCUAAAGACAUGGUUAUUUACAGAUGAUUCAGAUCUGUAUAGUAGUUCAGAAAAUUGCCCUCUAAAAAUGGAAACCAUCAUCAUAUUCAACUUCACAUGGAAGUGGGAAGACAGGAAACAAGAGCAUGUGGACUGGCCUUUUGCCUCAUGAUGUCUAAAUUGUUGAAUUUCAAGAAGUGUAUGUAGCUGGAAUGCAGCUCUCAAUGUCAAAAGUUUGGAACAUUUCAGAGCAUGGACUGUUUUUAGGUCCAUGGUUUUCAUGUGCCUUCACUUGUAAGGGGUUUGUCUAAACCCCAGGUUCAGAUAGUAUCAAACUUGUUCCAGAUGUCCUGCACUUUUGUUUUAUGGGCACAUGGGUCAUAAUAAAAUUCUCUGUUGCUUUAUGCCUUUUAACUGUUGUGGUUAGCCAAGGACAUGAUGGUGAAAGCAUUUUCAAAACCAGGUGAAACUGUUAUUAUUUCGGAGGUUUUUCAGAAAUAUUUUCAAUGAUGCACAUUAUAGCAUACAAUCUGUGCAUUGGAGUUUUGAUUAACUUAAAUAAGAUCAAGUGAAUAUAUCAGCAAUCUUCUACAUAAUAGUUAAUUUAAGAAUUUUUUAAGUAGCUGUGUACUGCAUGUGACUUUUAAAUAUCUUCAAAUAUUUGAUGGCUGUUGCAAUUGUUCUUUGACUCAGAUGAAACUUUGAGAGACUUCAGUGUAUGUGUUUUCUGAUCUGAGCCUGAACUGUGGAAAAAUGAAAGUCUGACCAUGCCUGUACUUUGUGUGGAGUGUAUUGAGUGGUUGCAAACUUCUUUGAAGUAAUUGUUUUGGGGAACUAACUUUUCUUUGUAUGUGAAAGUUACAGAAGAAUCACAGAAAGCAAAGAAACUGUCUAACACAUAAAAAUUAAAAGCUAGCCCUAUAAAGGGGUGAGAAUUCACACAUCUCUCACAGCUUUCAAGAAGUGAAGCUUUCUUUGGAGAAAGGGAACCAACACUAAGCUGUGCUUUUUUUAAGAAAAAAUUUUCUUUCUUUUUAUUUAAUGUCUCUCUCCACAUCUGUAUACAAUGUGUAUUAUUUAGCGAAUUUUGUAGUCAAAACAGUAGAUAUUGCCCCCAUUAUCCUGCAGGUUUCUCCAAAUUUAUAUAAUCUUCAGUUGUUUUUUUCCUUUUAAUAUUAUCUAUUUAUGGUUCACAUGAAAAACCAGCCACUGGGGAGUUUUCAACAUGGUUUUUAUUAUCUGGAUAAUGUCAGUGAUGAUGCACGGAAGCAUAAAGGAUCUUGAAUUUUGUAAACAAAGUUCCUCUAUGCAAAACCUGAGUGCUGUAGUUGAGCUGAGCCCUGUUUUGUUUGGAACCAUUAGAAUGUCCUUUUUUUGCUGCAAAAGAGAAACCAUUACUUUCCAUGGGAAGUCUGGGAAGCGACAUCAUUCCUGUAGUUGCUGACCUAGCCAUUGCCAUAGUUUCUCUUUUCCUGCUGCCUGGUGAGUCCCUUCUAGAUGGGUUUGCAGCUUGAGAAAGAUUAAAUUGUUUAGGCAACUUUUGGAAAAACCAAAAGUGAGGUGGGAGAAUUUUAAAACAUUUUUAAAUUUUUAAAACUUUUUAGUCAGAAAAUGAGGUAGUUCACUUCUUUAGCAGUGGUCACCAAAUGUCCUUUCAUAGGUGAUGUUGCAUAUUGCUUUUUGUUGCCUUCAAAUAUUAUAUGUUAAUAUUUAUGCCCUGAGACAAUUGCUUAAGGUUAAUUGUAGCAAAGAUUCCUGCAACUUUUAAAGGAAUUAUUAAUAAACUGCUCAGCUACUAAAUACUGUAAUACAUUGGUAUUAGCUUUUACCUGUGUCUCUCAUACCAUAUAAAAUCCAAUUUAUUUUCACCAAAGCUAGACAUACUUCACAUUUAAAUUUCUCUUUGUUUUCAGGUGAUACGUAACAGAUGGAUAUGCAGUACCGCACUAACAUAUCUGUACUGCUCAAUCAUGUU